rnacentral:rRNA from 1 species
UAAGCACUCCCCCUGGGAGUACGGUCGCAAGACUAAACUCAAAGGAAUUGACGGGGGCCCGCACAAGCGGUUGAGCAUGUGGUUUAAUUUGAAGCAACGCGAAGAACCUUACCAGGUCUUGACAUCCUCUGACAACCCUAGAGAUAGGGCUUCCCCUUCGGGGGCAGAGUGACAGGUGGUGCAUGGUUGUCGUCAGCUCGUGUCGUGAGAUGUUGGGUUAAGUCCCGCAACGAGCGCAACCCUUGAUCUUAGUUGCCAGCAUUCAGUUGGGCACUCUAAGGUGACUGCCGGUGACAAACCGGAGGAAGGUGGGGAUGACGUCAAAUCAUCAUGCCCCUUAUGACCUGGGCUACACACGUGCUACAAUGGGCAGAACAAAGGGCAGCGAAGCCGCGAGGCUAAGCCAAUCCCACAAAUCUGUUCUCAGUUCGGAUCGCAGUCUGCAACUCGACUGCGUGAAGCUGGAAUCGCUAGUAAUCGCGGAUCAGCAUGCCGCGGUGAAUACGUUCCCGGGCCUUGUACACACCGCCCGUCACACCACGAGAGUUUGUAACACCCAGAAGUCGGUGAGGUAACCUUU